rnacentral:SRP_RNA from 1 species
GUGGCACAGGCAUAUAAUCCCAGCUACUUGGGAGGCUGAGGCAGGAGAAUGGCGUGAACCCAGGAGGCGGAGCUUGCAGU